rnacentral:rRNA from 1 species
GACGAACGCUGGCGGCGUGCUUAACACAUGCAAGUCGAACGGAAAGGCCCUUCUUUUGUGGGGUGCUCGAGUGGCGAACGGGUGAGUAACACUUGAGUAACCUGCCCUUGACUUUGGGAUAACUUCAGGAAACUUGGGCUAAUACCGGAUAGGAGCUCCUGCUGCAUGGUGGGGGUUGGAAAGUUUCGGUGGUUGGGGAUGGACUCGCGGCUUAUCAGCUUGUUGGUGGGGUAGUGGCUUACCAAGGCUUUGACGGGUAGCCGGCCUGAGAGGGUAACCGGACAAAUUGGGACGGAGAUAAGGCCCAGACUACUACGGGAGGCAGGAGUGGGGAAUAUUGCACAGUGGGCGGAAGCCUGAUGCAGCAACGCCGCGUGCGGGAUGACAGCCUGCGGGUUGUAAACCGCUGUCGCCUGUGACGAAGCGUGAGUGACGGUAAUGGGUAAAGAAGCACCGGCUAACUACGUG